UACAGAGACCUCAAGCGUUAUCCGGAUUUAUUGGGCGUAAAGCGUCCGCAGGUUGUUUGGCGGGUCAGAGGUUAAAACUUCACGCUCAACGUGGAGCUGGCCUUUGAAACUACCAAACUAGAGUGCGGGAAAGGCAAGCGGAAUUGCAGGUGUAGUCGUAAUAAGCGUUGAUAUCUGCAAGAACACCAAAUGCGAAGGCAGCUUGCUGGAACGUUACUGACACUCAUGGACGAAAGCGUGGGGAG
rnacentral:rRNA from 1 species